rnacentral:rRNA from 1 species
UACGUAGGGUGCGAGCGUUGUCCGGAAUUAUUGGGCGUAAAGAGCUUGUAGGCGGUUUGUCGCGUCUGCCGUGAAAAUCCGGGGCUCAACCCCGGACUUGCGGUGGGUACGGGCGGACUAGAGUGUGGUAGGGGAGACUGGAAUUCCUGGUGUAGCGGUGAAAUGCGCAGAUAUCAGGAAGAACACCCGUGGCGAAAGCGGCUCUCUGGAACGGUACUGACGCUGAGACGCGAAAGCGUGGGGAGCGAACAGG